GGUAAGCAUGUGGGACCGGCUUGGGGAGGCUCAGGGGGGCUGGCCCAUGAGCUCCAGCCAUCUCAAAGGGCCAGUUCUUACAUAGCCUCCCUCAACAAGGGGAAACAAGAGCAACCAGGCUUGCCAUGGGGUUUGCUGUGCAGCAGGCAGUCGACCGUGGAUGCAUUCUCUGUUCUCUAGUAAAGAGGGGUGUACUCACCCCAGUAACGCACCCAGUCUUCAGCACAAUCAACUCAUGGGGUGGGGAGGGAGCACCCCAGCAAAUGUGCCCACUGACCCAGGGCCCUGGGUGUGCUGACCAAACCCUCAGCAGACACCCCCUGUUCGGGUCUCCCUGACCCUCCAGCGGCAUUCAGCACCCCCAAGUGUUUGCUGGCCUCCAGCUCUGGAUGGUACUCUGGGCUCGUGCCUGCUGGGGCCGACGUCACCUUCAAGGCCAAGAGGCCAUGUCUCCCCAUAGCACCUCCUUCCUUAAGUUAUUUCAGUUUUCUGGACAUGGGAUGCAGUGGCGAAAUGACUGUCCCCAAGGGUAAAAUUCAUGUUUAACAUUUCCCAAUGGGUUUCACGUCCUUUCCCUGUACAAAAGGGAGCCAGUUAGAAACGGUCCUUCCUUAGGGAAGAGCCAGUGUGUGCCUGGGUUUCUGUGUGCGCUCUGUGUGAGGGCUGGGGUUCUCGUUGUCCUGCUGGGACUGACCAGUCAGCCAGUACUCAGGUUUGAAAACUGUUCAGAUGGUGCGUUUUUAUUGUGGCUAUGGUUUUAAUUUAGACGUGCUUCUAAAGAGAUGCAUCAUAAGAAAAUAAAUGAAAGCUUAACUCAGUGAGUCCCCAGGGACUGGCCGUCGCGGGCACCCUCACGGUAUUGAGGGUCAAUGUGGACGCUGCCAGGUGACAUGCUGCUCGCUGGAGAGGACCUGGGGAGCCCGGGCAUUCGCCUCCAGGAGCUGGUGGCCUUCUCAUCGCAGGGUAUGAACUGUCUUCAUUUACGUGCAGUCACACCCGUCUGUCUCAAUCAAGCCUCUUAUAACAAGGCUCCACCCUCCACAAUCUGAUGAGUAAUCUGUGUCUACACCUUCCGAACUGGUUCUCAGUGCUUCUUCUUGCUUAAAAGCUUAGUGUUCUCCUUAUUCUGAGCAAGUCGGGUCCUGUUUCCCGCUGGACUUCCCGAGUAGCCAGGGUGGGGGGGGGGGGGCAGUCUGAUCACCCAGCCGCCUAUGGGGCACUGCUUGGGGCACCCAGGCCUGGCUGAAACCAUCCAUGGUCACUCCUUCAGAGGAGGCAGCCCAGACUCGAGAAAGUCAGGACAGGAGAGCUAUGAGCACUGAGACACUUGGGCAGCUUGGCUUGAAAGAGGGAAAUGUCACCUGGAAAAGGCUCAGCCCUGACCCUGAACACAGAUGGCCUGGAGGCCUUGGGUUCCUCUGAGCUGGCCCGUCCUGGCUGGCAGCGUGACCACUGUCCCUGUGAAAUCAGACCCUCCACUUCUCGGCCUCAUUUACUAAGGGCCAACAGGACACUCUCUGAAACAGCCCGUGUGACUUGUAUCAGUGCAUCUGGCUAAAGAUUCGGUGUGGGGUGGGUGCCAGCCCAGGACCCGCAUUCCUCUAACCAGUCAACCAGCGGCUGAUGUUCAGAAAAUAAAGUGGAAAGUAAACUCUCCAUCCUUGUCCUUUUGUAAAAGCUCUUGGUUGGGCGGCAGCUUCCUGUCCAAAAAUCCCUGAGGCAGAGGAGCUAAUUAAAGUUUGACCCCAUGGGACAGGGUGACAGGAGAGGAGGGCUGGCCUGGUGACCAGGCUGGACAAAAGCAUACUCAACAUUCAUCCCGGCACUGACCCCUGCCCUUCCUGACCUGUCCACACCACCUGCCCGGUGGGCGGAGGGGCGACCUUGUGAGGGGGUGGGGGGCGCUGCUGGGUGAGGCACAGGUUGUAGAAAGGUCACCAGGAGUCCUUCACCCGUUAAUUCCUCAACCCUCACUUUUUGGGUGGUGGCCCUUGUCUCCACAGACCCCGCCCCCGACUCAAAGAGGGGAUGGGGACGCGGCUGUCACCGCAUCUAGAGACGGGGGGCGUGGGGUCAGCUCUCAGGAUGUGGGAGGACGGUGAGGCCUGGGCCCCGGCAGGCGGGGGAGCCCCGAAGCAGGCUCCCCGUGUGUAACCGGCGCCCCGAAAGCCGCCCCCACGACUGCGCUUGGAAGCCCAGCUCGGAACUCGAGCUCGGCGAGGGAAAGAGGCCACGCCGGCCGCUGGGCUCCCGCUCGGCCGCGGAAGGUCAGCUUCCUGCAGGUUGAGCUUCCGCUUCAAGCCCGAGACCGCGUUUUCUUUCUGAGCGAAACCUCCGGCGACCGGAGGCUCCGGGUGAAGAGCCCGGCGGCCGCGCCAGCCUUGCCGGAGGAGCAGCGAACACCCCGGGCGAGUCCGCGCACCUGUCCGCUCCCGGCCCUGCUCCCGCUCGACCGCGCGCUGCGCACCAGACUCGGCCCGAGGAGCUCCGGCCACAGACGUGCUUCAGAGAAACUCGGAUCCUGACCCUACGAUGUCCACUCUGCCUGCGUAGUGUCUGCCUCCUGUUUGGAUCGGAACCAUGGCGUCCAGGGCAAAGGCGCAAUGGGAUAAAGCCCCAGACCCCAGCGUCUGGUGAGGAGGAGCCUGGCACGUGGCCAGGAUCAUCUCUGUGGUGUGAGCACUGAACACAGAUGUUGGCUCCUGACGACUCCUGGGCACCCCUGCCCCCGGCCCCCAGAACAGAAUCCAGGCCAUUCCAGGUCCUUUCGGGGCUGAAGUUCAUCCAGAGAAAACCAAUUCCCUUCUUGACUUAGGUCUUCCUCUUUCUGAACGUCAACACUCUCUCCAGUUGUAUUCAUGUUUUGGGUAGAAGCUAAUCUCUUAGCUAAUGAGAAAACAUGAGGAUGGAAGACCAUGUACACCACCAUGAAUAUGCAAUCUGCAAAGUCCAGCCUGUGAGAAACUCUGGGAGACAAAUGACCCAGAUUCUGAGGAAAAAAAACUCGCAGGAGACCAGAAGGGGAGGGUAAUGAGCAGCAUAAAGAGGCACAGGAACGAGUUGCUGCCUGGGCUUCAGUGAUCUCGGGUUGGCUGCUGUUUCAAAAGGGAAUUUUCACUUCCGGGAAUGUGCUUGAUGUACUUUUCCUAUUCUUCUAGCCAAGUAAAACUUAAAUCCUGGAAAUCAGAUAAAAAAUAAAUGUACUUUACUCCAAAAAAAAAGCAAUAGCUGUAAAUGCUGGAUAGAAGUCCAGGCAGGCCCUGGCCUGUGGUCCUGGGGAGGGCAGGUGACAGCCUGGCUGAGGGUGGGUCAAUGUGAAGUGUUCUGGUGGCUCAGCUGGGGCCUGGCCUGGGGUGAUGAGGGCAGCGGGGAGGUGAGGGCAGGGGGCACUGGCCGGGCAAGUGACAGCCUGAGGGAGGAGGUUGCAGGAGUGGGAGAGGGUUUGGGGUUGGUGAGUGGCUCAUGAAAAGUGCACAUCACAGAAGAGUUGUCUGCUGUCUCUAGGAAUUCCCCAGCCCUGGGAGGGGCCAUCUCCCCAGAAUUAGGGAGGCCACAGGCACCAAAACAUCAGAAGGAAAAGGUGGGCUUAAUACAGGGCCACUGAAAAAUCUCAGAACAUUAAAAUAAUUGAAACGGUAGUGUGUUCUCUGAUUAUAGUGGAAUCAAAGUGUAAAUCAACAAUUAUUAAUCAAUAAAAAAUGGAAAGAAAGAAAAGAGAAAAAUCUCUAAACACUUGGAAACUAAAACACCCUUCUAAAUAAACCAUGGGUUGAUACAGUGUAUUGAAUGAAAAUUAAAAAUUGAUUGUAUCAAAAUUUUGGGGAUACAGUACAAGUAUGUUGAGAGGAGAUUAAUGCAAACAGGAGUGAAGAAGGAAAGACUCAACCAUCUAUGAUCCCAUUUCAAUAAAUGGAAAAGUGAAAAAUAAGCCCAAGGAAAAUGAAAGAAAAUAAUAAAGGAAAGAGCAGAAAUCAAUUAAACUGAAACAGAAGAAGAAUAGAGCAAAUCGAAGAAACAAAGAGCCAGAAAUAUCAAUAGAAUUGAUGAACUUCUAGCAAGACUGACAAAGGGGGAAAGAGAGAGAAGAUAAAUUACCAGUAACAGGCAUCAAGAGGGCAUGUCACUAUAGGCCAUAAGGACAUGAAAAGGAUAACAAGGAGUACUGUAAACAAUUCUAUACUUAUAGACUUGCAAGUUAGAUGAACUGGGUCAUUCUCUCAAAAACCACUCACCAAAUAUGAAAUAGAUUAUAUGAAGAUCCUUUUAACUAUUAAGGAUUUUGAAUGUGUAAUCUUAAUUACAUUUCUUGAGAGUUUCUUAAAACUCUCAAGAAAUGUCCAGACCCAGAUAGUCUCACUGGGAAAUUCCACCAAACGUUUAAAGAAGGAUCACACCUGUUCUGCAUGACCUCUUCCCGAAGACAGAAGAGGCGAGAACAUUCUCAGUUCGUUUUGUAUUGCUGGUGUUACCCGGACACCAAACCAGACAAUGACAGCAAAAAAAAAAAAAAAAAAAAGGGUGUGGGGAGCUACAGACCAGUAUCCCCCACAAAUGUUGAUGUAAAAAGGCUUAAUAAAAUAUUAGCAAAUGAAUUGUUCAUUGACUAUAUAAAGAGGAUCACACACCGUGACCAAAGAGGUUCAUUUCAAGGAUGCAAGGUUGUUUCUGUAUGAAGAUAAGGUAAUCCAUCAUGUUAAUGGGCUAAAGAAAAAGUCACACAAUCAUAUCAUGCAGUGCAAAAGUUUUUUCCACAAAAUUCCACACCUAUUCAUGAUACAAACUCUCAGAAAAAUAGGAAUAGAGGAGAAUUCUCUCAACUUGAUAGCAAGCAUCAACAAAAACCCAACAGUUAACAUCAUACUUAGUGGUGAAAGAAUGAACCUUACCCCUUAAGAUCAGGAGCAAGAAUUUCUGCUUUUACCAUUCCUAUUCAACACAGUGCCUGAGGUUCUAGCCAGGGCUAUAUGGCAAGAAAAAUUAAUAUAAGAUACACAAACCAUAAUG